CUUAAUAUGCAGUUUCUCAUCAUUCAUAUCAGAGAAAUUAGAAAAGAGGGAGUACUGUAAUAAACAUUGCACACCAGCUGCUCGAUGUAAUGCCUAACAAAAGGUGUGUCUCUUAGUCAAUUCAAGGAUGGUUGCAACCAUGAGCUUACAAUUAAUAGGUUUUGUUAGGUAAGCAUCCAUACCCACUUCCAGACACUUUGCUUCAUCUGAUGACAUUGCAUGUGCUGUUAAGGCAACAAUGGGAAUGUGAGAAUUUGUUCCUGUUUCUGAUUGUCUUAUAGCCUUCGUUGCUUCAUACCCAUCCAUCUUUGGCAUCUAAUUUGUACAUGUAACAUAGAAAAUGCAAAAAUUAUUUCAUGAUUUUACUUGGUAGAAGUUAAACAUGACCUUAAUAUUUAUUUACCUGGCAAUCCAUUAGAAUCAAGUCGAAAGGCUGAUUAUUCUUGCUGCUUUUCUUUUGAUCUUCUUCCAAGGAAGAUUCCAUAUCACUACGACAUACUUCUUCAGUGAGUGUAGCUCUCAAUGCAUGCACUGCCUGAACUCCAUCACCAACUGCCAUGACAGAAGCACCUAUUUUCUCCAGCAUUAUCGUCGCUACUCGUUGGAGUACAGGCGUAUCUUCUGCUAGUAAUAUGUGUAAUCCUUCGAGAGAUUUCGUUGGACUUGCUGUUUUACUUAAUAAGUCUUCAAAGUUUUCAUUACUUGCUCUAUUCUCCCCAAUAUUGCCAAAUUCUUCUUGUUCUUCUGAGUUCACUUGGUUAAUAUCGAUCAAGCAGUCCUGAACGAUCCCAUACUCACCUUGUCCUGGACUUCCGAUUCUAGACCUAUCAGAAUCAUCAGAGGUAGCUGCUCCAUAAUACUGAAUUUGAUCAGUUUCGAGACAUUCAUGCAAGCCAUUCUCUUUGGUUUUAUCAGUUGUCUCCUUUUCCACCUCUGUAAUUCUCUCCUUUAUUGCAGCCUCCAAUAUUUGGGUCAUUUUUGCCUUGUAUAACGGUUUGUUGACCAUUAUCAGAUGCCCUUUGCUGCGAAGCUCCAUCUUAACACUGUUUGAGGUGUCGUGGUUUAGUAUCCACGCGAAUUUUGCUGACUUACAGUAUUUAUCCAGGAAAUUUAGCUGUUCUCUCCAUAUAUUUGUGUUUAUUAAGUCAAGUAGGCCAAUGUCGACAAUUAUGACGAAGAUUGAACUCUUCGAUCCUUGUAUAUGUGGUUCUCCAUCGCAGGUCUCAGUUGGAAAGUUUUCAUGAAGAACUUGUGUCAAGCCAUUCCACUCAGAUGCUUCCCAUGUUAGCACUCCAUUUUUCUGUAACCAAUGUAACAUAAUCGACCUACCCAUUCUUCCGCUAAGUGCAAGCAAGACCUGCAAUCAAACUUCAAGGUCAGUAAUUGAAUGAUACCGAUAGAUGAUUAAGAUACUGAAAAGAGACAAACCAUAAUUUUAUGUUCCUUGAAGUUAUUGACUUGGAAAACUUCUCCAUUGCCAUCCACUGGUGUGUUAAGGCGUAAACAUAACCUCAUUACUGUUCCUGGCCCUUCCUUCUUUACAACUUCGAUUUCACCGCCCAUUUUGUUUACCUGUUUUCACAUUAGUUUUCUUAAACUUUGUGUAUAUUGCAUGAUGUAGUUAGUCGAGCUGAACAAAAAUAUGCUCACCAAUGUUCUCACAAUGCAUAGCCCAAGACCAGUGCCACCAUGCCUGAGAAUUUGGAAAGACUAUUGUCAUUUUGCAAUUGAAUGAUUAUAGGAGACUGUAUUAAUAAAAUUCAAAUGUAAUCUGCUUACAGACGAGUUGUUGAAGGAUCAGCUUGUUCAAAGCUUUCGAAAACAGAUUCCCAUUUGCUUGAAUCUAUUCCUGAAAGAUGAUAGAUUUUAUGAGUUUAUUGAUUGGCAUGUGUUUGGUUAAAACCAGAUGCAGCGUUCAUACCACAGCCUGUGUCGUCAACUUCAAACCAAAGAACCACUUUAUUAUCAUUUUUAGUGGACCUGCUAUUUUUGUGGUUAAUAUGCUGCCUCAGCUUGGAUUUAGGAAUCGAGUCGAACUUCCAACUGUUUCUUGAAGUGUCGUUUGGAUCCUCGCACCAUCCUCGGAGAAUAAUAUAGCCGGCUGUGUAAAAGCCACUCAUAAAUCAAAUUCCUAAUUCUUUCGUUUUGCUUCAAAUUGACAGGACAUGCACACUUACAUGAUGUAAACUUGAUUGAAUUGCUGAUCAAGUUUGCGAAUAUUUGGACCACUCUGGCAGAGUCACCUUGAACAUAUCUUGGCAUGUCAUCUGUCAGAAGAGAAAUAUGAAGGGAUUCUUACCAGAAAAAUAAAAUAAAAAUUUUUGAACAGAAAUGACGGUUAUUCAUCAUACCAGAUAGAUCAAGGACAGUUUCAACAUUGUGAUUGAUGCACUGGACUGAGAACAUAUCAACAAGACCUUCAAGUUCUCUUCCCAGAUCAAACUCUGCUUCUUCCAGGACCAAUUUACCUGAUUCAACCUAUCAAUAUUUUCAACGACGGUUAUGUUAGUUAAAUGUUGUUCAGAAGCCGGAGUAAAGCAGUUGAACAUUUACGAAUCUGGGUAAUGUUUGCAAAUUGCUCAUUAUUGAGUGAAUCGACGUCACUGAUAAGAAUAUCGAGUAAUCCAAUCACUGCAGCCAUCGGUGUUCGUAAUUCAUGGCUGCCACACCAACAACAAAUCAACAUUAACCGACAGUUGCUUGAUGCUUCUGCCUUUCUUCUUGCAUCCAAAUGGCUUAUUAACUCUGCCCUUAGAUUCAUCUCCUUUGAAACUCCAUUUGUCAAUAUGAAGAUG